ACUCGAGCGGCGAACGGGUGAGUAACACGUGAGUAACCUGCCCCAGGCUUUGGGAUAACCCCGGGAAACCGGGGCUAAUACCGGAUAUGACCAUCUGUCGCAUGGUGGGUGGUGGAAAGAUUUUUUGGCUUGGGAUGGGCUCGCGGCCUAUCAGCUUGUUGGUGGGGUGAUGGCCUACCAAGGCGGCGACGGGUAGCCGGCCUGAGAGGGCGACCGGCCACACUGGGACUGAGACACGGCCCAGACUCCUACGGGAGGCAGCAGUGGGGAAUCUUGCACAAUGGGCGGAAGCCUGAUGCAGCGACGCCGCGUGAGGGAUGACGGCCUUCGGGUUGUAAACCUCUUUCAGCAGGGACGAAGCGUUUGUGACGGUACCUGCAGAAGAAGCGCCGGCCAACUUACCCGGUGCCCAGCAGGCUCGCGGCUAUAGACGGUAGGGCGCAAGCGUUGUCCGGAUUUAUUGGGCGUAAAGAGCUCGUAGGCGGCUUGUCGCGUCGACUGUGAAAACCCGUGGCUCAACUGCGGGCUUGCAGUCGAUACGGGCAGGCUAGAGUUCGGUAGGGGAGACUGGAAUUCCUGGUGUAGCGGUGAAAUGCGCCAGAUAUCAGAGGAACACCGGUGGCGAAGGCGGGUCUCUGGGCCGAUACUGACGCUGAGGAGCGAAAGCGUGGGGAGCGAACAGGAUUAGAUACCCUGGUAGUCCACGCUGUAAACGUUGGGCGCUAGGUGUGGGGGGCCUCUCCGGUUCUCUGUGCCGCAGCUAACGCAUUAAGCGCCCCGCCUGGGGAGUACGGCCGCAAGGCUAAACUCAAAAGGAUUGACGGGGGCCCGCACAAGCGGCGGAGCAUGCGGAUUAAUUCGAUGCAACGCGAAGAACCUUACCUGGGUUUGACAUCGCCGGAAAUCCUUCAGAGAUGGGGGGUCCUUCGGGGCCGGUGACAGGUGGUGCAUGGCUGUCGUCAGCUCGUGUCGUGAGAUGUUGGGUUAAGUCCCGCAACGAGCGCAACCCUUGUUCGAUGUUGCCAGCGCGUUAUGGCGGGGACUCAUCGAAGACUGCCGGGGUCAACUCGGAGGAAGGUGGGGAUGACGUCAAGUCAUCAUGCCCCUUAUGUCCAGGGCUUCACGCAUGCUACAAUGGCCGGUACAGUGGGCUGCGAUACCGUGAGGUGGAGCGAAUCCCAAAAAGCCGGUCUCAGUUCGGAUCGGGGUCUGCAACUCGACCCCGUGAAGUCGGAGUCGCUAGUAAUCGCAGAUCAGCAACGCUGCGGUGAAUACGUUCCCGGGCCUUGUACACACCGCCCGUCACGUCACGAAAGUCGGCAACUACCCGAAGCCG
rnacentral:rRNA from 1 species